rnacentral:rRNA from 1 species
CCUAACACAUGCAAGUCGAACGAGAAAGCACCUUCAGGGUGUGAGUAAAGUGGCGCACGGGUGAGUAGCACGUGGGUAAUCUGUCCUUGGUGUCUGGGACAACACCGCGAAAGGGGUGCUAAUACCGGAUAAGACCACGGCCUGUUCGCAGGCUGCGGCUAAAGGUGGCCUCUCCAUGGAAGCUAUCGCCCGAGGAUGAGCCCGCGCCCCAUCAGCUUGUUGGUGAGGUAAGAGCUCACCAAGGCUUAGACGGGUAGCUGGUCUGAGAGGAUGGUCAGCCACACUGGAACUGAGACACGGUGCGAGACUCCUACGGGAGGCAGCAGUGGGGAAUAUUGCGCAAUGGGCGGAAGCCUGACGCAGCGACGCCGCGUGAGCGAUGAAGGCCUUCGGGUCGUAAAGCUCUGUUGGAAGUGAACGAAAAAGUCCAUGGUUAAUAUCCAUGGACCCUGACGGUACUCUUCCAGAAAGCACCGGCUAACUCCGUGCCAGCAGCCGCGGUAAUACGGAGGGUGCUAGCGUUGUUCGGAAUCAUUGGGCGUAAAGCGCGGGUAGGCGGGGCGGCGUGUCGGAUGUGAAAGCCCUCGGCUCAACCGAGGAAUUGCAUCCGAAACUGUCGCUCUUGAGUACGGGAGAGGGAAGCGGAAUUUCCAGUGUAGAGGUGAAAUUCGUAGAUAUUGGAAGGAACAACCGGUGGCGAAGGCGGGUUCCUGGACCGAUACUGACGCUGAGACGCGAAAGCGUGGGUAGCAAACAGGAUUAGAUACCC